rnacentral:rRNA from 1 species
GAUGAACGCUGGCGGAAUGCCUAAUACAUGCAAGUCGAGCGGCAGCACGGUCUUCGGACUGGUGGCGAGCGGCGGACGGCUGAGUAACGCGUAGGAACGUACCCCAAAGUGAGGGAUAACUGCUCGAAAGAGUAGCUAAUACCGCAUGUGAUCUAAGGAUUAAAACUUCGGCGCUUUGGGAACGGCCUGCGUCCGAUUAGCUAGUUGGUGAGGUAAAAGCUCACCAAGGCGACGAUCGGUAGCUGGUCUGAGAGGAUGAUCAGCCAGACUGGGACUGAGACACGGCCCAGACUCCUACGGGAGGCAGCAGUAGGGAAUUUUCCACAAUGGGCGAAAGCCUGAUGGAGCAACGCCGCGUGCAGGAUGAAUGCCUUAGGGUUGUAAACUGCUUUUAUAUGUGACGAAUAUGACGGUAGCAUAUGAAUAAGGAUCGGCUAACUCCGUGCCAGCAGCCGCCGUAA